GUAAGAACCAUAACAUGCUGUUGGAUAUUUUUCGGCAGCUUUCCCACGCAGUACGUCACAAAGCCCUUGGCCAUGCUUUUGGCUUGAGAGUCAAGGUCAUGCUUUUAGCGCAGGGCAAGCUGUUUUAUGUGAAGGAAUUUUUAAUUACUGAUUACAGUAAGGCUUUUUAUAAUGCUAUACUAUACUAUACUAUACUGUACUGUACUGUACUGUACUGUACUGUACUGUACAGUCACGAAUAAACUGUGGUACUAGCCCGAGUAUACCCCCUCCCCGAUAUAAGCCCUUCCGUGUAAAAGCCCACGGGCUUAUUAUUCGACAGGUAUUUAUUAACGCAGCGAUGGCGAUUCCAACAGCUCAGACAAGUACAAUAAUUACAUUAGAGUAUUAUAAUAUGUUAACCAACUUUUUUAUGUACAGAUUAUGUAUACUGUAUGUUUAUAUUUCUUUUCGUUCACGGUAGUUUAUAUUACAGGUAUACAAUAAAUAUUAUUACUAAGAUCAAACGCCGUCCGUAUAUAAGCCCGCCCCCCAUGUAUAAGCCCAUCAAAAAAUGCUUGCUAAUGAAUAUAAGCCAUUCUUCGGAGGUUUAGGUAUAUAGGAACAAACUCAUAUUAAAAUGUAUGCACUAAGCCUAUAAGAGGACAGAACGAUGGUCGAUGCUAGCUAGCUGUUGAUUCAGAAAUCGAAGUGUAACAACUUUUAAAAAAUUCAAAUUAAUUAAUACAACUUAAAGAUAUUCUAAUUUAAAUGACUAUAUUCUUACAUUUUAACUAAUUGCAAGUAACUAUGUAUAUACAUACAUCUAUUUACAUUAUUAAACCGUAGUGUUUUGAGUAUACUAAACAAACACAUAUCACAGAUAUUAUAUUUACAUAGCAGGUAAUAAUAUUCGGCUACAAUUAUUAAAAAUGUCCACGGCCUAGCAAGGCUCGAACCGACGGAGUACCAAAAUUAUGGAAAAUCUUCAACUGCAUAUAGUUCAAAUGUUCCGAUAGCGAAAAAAAAAACGAUGCCAUGGUAUAUGGGUCAAUGAAUGAUGUUGCCGAAAAAAUCCUACAACCGACCGAAGGAUUUCUAUGUCCAGUUUUAACACAGUUUCAUUUUGAAACCGAUGUGUUUUCAUCAAAUAAAUAUAUAGCAUUGUUAUUCGGAGUCCAUAUAUAAACCAAUUCUUUAUGCCAGACUAUAACCGUAUUUUCUCACCGCCAAAUUUCACGUUUACUGGUACGUAAUCAAAAUGGGAAGAUGGCGUGAUGGGACUGAGACCCAAUGAUAUCGCUAACAUAAAGUAUCCACUAACCUCACCGUCACGUGGCCAAUUGCUCGAGAGGCUCUUCCUUGUCCAAAGGGUGGUAUUCACCCGUGUUCGAUAAUUGGCCCAUGUGAAUGUAAUCUGCUGUGGUUUGGUCUUCGUCUCCAGCCAACUAUUUAAAAAAAACAACGUAUUGUUAAAAAAGGUUUUUGGAACUAUUUCUCGCUAUCUUUAAAGGAACCGGUCAUUAUUUAUGGGGGGUGGGGGGUGGGGGGUGGCACCGAAGAGAAAUGGUUGUCGUGCCAAAAAUUUUGCAGACCCAAAUAAAAAAAUUGAUUACCCAACCUCAAGUAUCAUUUAAAAAAUAAAUACCAACCCCUGGCCAAAAACGUUACAAAAGGAUGUCAUUCAGUUGUCACACAUGUCCUUUACCACUUCUGUGAUACGAAUUUGAUAACGUUCGGCUUCUAAAGUUUCAUGUUGUCUGCACAUCUACUUUCUUUGGAGACACCAUUAAUUUGUCUCCCAACAAAUCGGAAAAUGAUCAAGAUAGUGACUCUGAUCAUAGACAAUCCAGAAGACAUG